AUAUUUCAACGAGAAUAAGAGCAACAAAAUUGUUGAUGUCAAAAAGUUUGGACUAUGACUUUAUAGAGACUCUUCAUUUGACUUUUGAUGUGUAGUGAUCCUGAAAGCCUGGAUGAUGUGUUAAUACAUUUACAUUGGGAAAAAUGUAAAAAGAUUUCUUAUGAAUCAAUGUCUUUCUUGAUUUUUUUUUUAUCUCAGGUACUGUAAGAGGAUGGUGGAGUGUAUAAAUAAAUCAGAACUGCUAUUUUUCGGAUGGAAAUGACAAGUAUGUGCUUGCAUAGUGCCAAAAUAUGAAAAUAAUAACAUGAAAAGAGGAAAAAGUCCGAAAGAAACAGAACCAAGCAGCCAUUCGCUGAAAUCUCUGAGCCUGAAAGAAGUAUUAAAACCUGGAAGAACUUAUUACUGUAAUUUAUAAAUCAUUGCCAUUACUGAUAUGAAGUGGAGGCGUUGCCUGUCUGUUUAAUAACAUUGAUAUGUUUGAUUCUAUCAAUUUGAUAUUUUUGACACCUCAUGUUCAGUUUCUUUCUUCCACCAUAUUUUCUACCAUGACAUUUUUGCCUUGGAACCAGCUGACCAUGCAUGGACUGCACCCUCUGAAACUGUAGGCUAAAAUAAGCCUCUCCUUUAAAUAGUCUUGGGUAUUUUGUCCCAGUGACUGAAAAGUGAUAAUGUGUUAAUGUUAAUGUCACUUCUGACAUCUGAAAUAACAUUACCACAUAUAGGUAGCAAUUUGUAUUGUAGUAUUGGAUGUGAUGCUCUGCUCAUUUUGGGGUUUUUUUGUGUGUGUUUCAAUUUUGGUAUUUUCAACUGACCUAUCUUAGUAAUUCACAGGUGUUUUCAUGAACUACCAAAUCUGUUUAUGAGGCUUAUCUAGUGAUUUUUUUAAAAUGUAAAAAUACUGGUUUUAUUUUUAGUUCUAAAGGGUUUUUUUUGUUCUUUUUUAUACUAUUAGUUUCUCAUCUGUGUCCAUAAUAGCCAUUAUUUCUUAAAAAAUCACUGAACAUAAUUAUAACAAUGCUUUCAUUAUAUUGUCAGUUAAAUCAACAUAAG
rnacentral:lncRNA from 1 species